AGAACGUGUUGCAUGCCUUCUCAACAUUUGGCAUCAUGUAGGUUAGGGGUUGUGAAAUGCGGGAUCCACUGUCUCCACCCAAUCUCUUCUCUCACAGUUAUUUUCUGGGACACUGCACAAUACAACUUUAUUUGACGGCAGAACAUUCAGAGGCUGUAAGCUUGACACAUGGCAAAAUGCUUCUGCUGUUUCUGAGUCUCAGUUUGCUCACUUCUAAUGUCCAGUCAGAAAAACAAGGGGUUAAUGUAACGUGUGAAAAUCAAUCGGUUGUUCCAGGACAGAACCACAACCUGACAUGUAGAGUGCAAUACAGUGAUGUAGGUCAGAAUAAUAUGGGAUGUAAAACUACAAAUUAUUUCUGGAAACAUAAAUCAAAAUCUCCAAUACGAAAUUGUGAUUGUAUAAAAGAUUGUAACACUACGAUAACAACCAACACCUACUUUUGUGAGAUCAAAAAUGUUACCAAAGCUGAUGAGGGAAACUACACUUUUACCAUUAACACAAACUGUGGCAACGGACAUGGCACAUUGAAUGUUUCAUUGAGAAAUGAAAAACAAGCGUUUCUGGGAUCGUCAGGUCACCUAUCAUCAGUAUCAUCACUGUUCUGGGUGUUCUACUGUUUCUCAUCUUAAUACUUAAUAGUUCCUUGAGAAACAAUGACAAAGCUACCAGAGAGGCCCUAAACCAGAAGCCUGCAUAACGUUCAGUCUGGAGGAGCUGUGUGUGUUGGUUCUACUAUCCUUGUGGGGAUAGAAAUAUCUCAUUUACAUAAGUAGUCAAACUCCUAUUUCAAUAAAUACUUUGUGGAAGCUCCUUCUGCAUUGAUUAAUAACACUUUGUAUUCAGGACAAAAACUGAAUUACUUUGCCAUGUUUUUUUGCAGUGCUACUAUAGUGCCUUGUUUCAAACAUGAUGCAUGUUUUGGAAUAUUUUUAUUCUGUACAGGCUUCCUUUCCACUCUCAAUUAUUAUUGCAGUGCAGUGCUGUCGUUCAGCAGUAGACGAUGCCUCGUCAGCUAUUGACUUGUCAUUCCCACUCGCCAACACUCACUGCUGUCAUUGAAUGGACUCA